rnacentral:rRNA from 1 species
AUUGAACGCUGGCGGCAUGCUUUACACAUGCAAGUCGAACGGCAGCACGGGUGCUUGCACCUGGUGGCGAGUGGCGGACGGGUGAGUAAUACAUCGGAACGUGUCCAGAAGAGGGGGAUAACGCAUCGAAAGAUGUGCUAAUACCGCAUAUGCUCUGAGGAGGAAAGUGGGGGAUCGAAAGACCUUACGCUUUUGGAGCGGCCGAUGUCUGAUUAGCUAGUUGGUGGGGUAAGGGCCUACCAAGGCGACGAUCAGUAGUUGGUCUGAGAGGACGACCAGCCACACUGGGACUGAGACACGGCCCAGACUCCUACGGGAGGCAGCAGUGGGGAAUUUUGGACAAUGGGCGCAAGCCUGAUCCAGCCAUGCCGCGUGAGUGAUGACGGCCUUAGGGUUGUAAAGCUCUUUCACCGGUGAAGAUAAUGACGGUAACCGGAGAAGAAGCCCCGGCUAACUUCGUG